CGUGUAGGCGGACAGGUAAGUCGGGUGUGAAAGCCCGGGGCUCAACCCCGGAACUGCGCCCGAAACUGCUUGUCUUGAGUACGGGAGGGGGAAGCGGAAUUCUUGGUGUAGGGGUGAAAUCCGUAGAUAUCAGGAGGAACACCGAUAGCGAAGGCAGCUUCCUGGACCGAUACUGACGCUGAGACGCGAAAGCGUGGGGAGCAAACA
rnacentral:rRNA from 1 species